GUCUUCAUGGCUUAGUUGGUUAAAGCGUCGGUCUCAUAAUUAUGACUGGGUCUCUAGAUCUGGAAAUCCGAAGGUCGCGAGUUCGACUCUCGCUGAGGACA
rnacentral:tRNA from 1 species